ensembl:lncRNA
CAGGUCAAGUCAUAACGAGCUGGGGCUUAAAGCGCCGCGUAAGACCUUUUGAGGUCUGGUCAACAGGCGUUUGUUAUGCAUGCGUUUAUGUGGUCGUGUAGUACAUAAGGACCGCACAGGUGGCCCAUACAUCUGCCCGACUCACCACACUUGCUACACUACAUUUCGCUAUCAGGUUUACAGCCGAGCUUCCCUCUGCCGGGCACUACAGACUGGCGUGUAGCUCCUGGCUCUGCACAGCUGACAGUUCCUCCUAAGAGCCCCUGUCUAUCCAGGGUGUCCCACGUUACCUCUGUCACCGGUGCGAGUAAAGAUGUCUGUUUGGACCGGCUUCUGUCGGAGGGAGGAGGGAGGCUAUGCAGUGUCCAGGGGAACUGUGAACAAGUGAGCCUUGAGUCUCUUGCGGAAGCUGCACAGCUGGCUAAUGGAAGUCAGCCCCAACUGCCCACAGAUUCCUUGCAGAACAGAUACUAUGGUCUGUGCCCAAGGAAGGAGAGCCAUCCAGUCCAAGCCAAACAUCUGAUCAGAAGGCCCUCACCGGAGGGGGGGCCGCAGGCCGCAGGCCGCCAGCCCUGUUCCAUAUGGUCCCUGCUCCGCGAAGGGAUUAUAGUGGACAGACUCUGUCUCUCUCUAUCUAAUGAUAUUCCACUCUCUCUCCCGGCUUCCCGUCUGAAUCCCUUCCUGUUCCCUGUGCACCAGGGCUGCCAGGAUCCAUGGGUAGACAAACAAAGAGCAGGCCCUGGGUGGAAGCUCGUGGGGCGCUCCGCUCCCAUUCAUGAGUGCGGCCGAACAGGGAAGGGAUGUUUUGAUUCAGGCCGAACCGAGGUGGGCUGUCAUGCUCCCAUCCUCCCACUGCGCCCUCACAUUCAGAGGC